rnacentral:rRNA from 1 species
UACGAAGGGUGCAAGCGUUACUCGGAAUUACUGGGCGUAAAGCGUGCGUAGGCGGUUUGUUAAGUCUGUCGUGAAAGCCCCGGGCUCAGCCUGGGAAUGGCGAUGGAAACUGGCGAGCUAGAGUACGGUAGAGGAGAGUGGAAUUCCCGGUGUAGCAGUGAAAUGCGUAGAGAUCGGGAGGAACAUCAGUUGCGAAGGCGGCUCUCUGGACCAGUACUGACGCUGAGGCACGAAAGCGUGGGGAGCAAACAGG